rnacentral:rRNA from 1 species
UAGAGUAACACGUGAGCAACCUACCUUUCAGUGGGGGACAACAUUUGGAAACGAAUGCUAAUACCGCAUAAGACCACAGUGUCGCAUGGCACAGGGGUCAAAGGAUUUAUCCGCUGAAAGAUGGGCUCGCGUCCGAUUAGCUAGAUGGUGAGGUAACGGCCCACCAUGGCGACGAUCGGUAGCCGGACUGAGAGGUUGAACGGCCACAUUGGGACUGAGACACGGCCCAGACUCCUACGGGAGGCAGCAUG